CUAUUAUUUUAAGUGUUAAUUUAUUUACCAGGGUAGUAUUAGUUAAGAUCUUUAAACCCAAAGAAUUUGGCGGUAUCUUAUUCCAUUUAGAGGAACCUACCCCAUAAUUGAUAAUACACGAUUAACUAUACUUAAUUUAUUUGUUUGUAUAUCUCCGUUAUCAGAAAAUCUUUUUGGAGUUAUAAUUUUCUUGAUUUAUAAUUAUAAAAUAUUUCAGGUCAAGGUGCAGCUUAUAAUUAAGAGGAGGUGGGUUACAAUAAAUUUUAGUUUAUUACGUAUUUAAUAGUGAAAUGCUAUUAAUAAAGGUGGAUUUAAUAGUAAUUUGAUUUAUUUAAUUCAAUUGAUAUUGGCUCUGAGGUGUGUACACAUCGCCCC
rnacentral:rRNA from 1 species